AGGAAUUGCCACACUGUCUUCCUUAAUGGUUGAACUAAUUUAUGUUCCCACCAACAGUGUAAAAGUGUUCCUAAGAUUUCCAUUUUAUGUUUGUCAAGCACUCUCUCCUUGGAGGAAGUCUAAAGGCACACACUGUCCAUAAGAACAGAACAAUUAGUGCUGUUAAAUAAGUAAGUUGGGUUGAGAUUGUGCAAGACAGGGAAAUGGAAGAGGCAGUUGAUGAGAGCUGUGAAAGGAAAAUGGCAGAAGAAACCUUGCAUGCCCAUGAUGGGGCCACUCAGCAGUGGAAAUAGAAUAAAGAGGGACCCAUUCUUUUUCAAUAGUGCUACUGGGACCUGGGCACAUGUUCUUGCUGAGAAGAGCCACUAACAUUAUCUGGGAGUGAGUUGAGCCUUAAAGUCCUUAUCUGUGCAGCCUUGUGCUUUGAGCACUUUCUAGAUGGUUCAAGAAGGUUGUAGAACUAAUUCAUAAUUUCUGUAGCAAAACAGCUGCCUUUUGGAGCCUUGGUAGUAAUAUCACAGAGCUGGGCUUGAGGAAGAACAGAGUCAAAGACAGGGACGUAUGUGUCUCCUGGACUGCUUUGGAAAACUCAGGACAGUGACACUGGCCCCCAACCAUAGACUGCCAGUGUGCACUUGUAACCUGAACUCAGACAGAUACGCUGACUCCCAGGAUGGGUGUGUCUUGUGUUAAUGGCACAUAAUUCAGCCCCUCACUGAAGCUUUCCUGGAAAUCUGACCAUGGACUCCAUGUGGACUCAGCCCUGGAACUCCCUGCCUGAGAGUGCAAAAUGCCUGUUUUAGUGUUUGUUCAUUUGCAGUAGUCAAAUGAGCCUCCAUCCUUAGGGCCUCUGUUCCUUCCUCGUGUCCUGUGUUUCCAUACUGCUCCUCUUCAGGUGCCAUAUGUGAGACUCAUAGGGUGAUCCCUGACAUUUACGGUCCUCAGCAGUUGGGUUUUCCCUAGCAGUAAAUGGAAGGGAAUCCUGAUUUCUGUUCACUGGGAAGCAGAAGUGCAGCUGAGAGACACUGAAACUCUAGUUCAAGUCUUGCAGGAAAGGAAGAGAAUAGCAAGUUGAGCCCUGGCUGACUCAGAGUCCUUUAUCGUAUUGAGAUGUACACAUUUUUUGUAUUAUAUCACCUGAAAAAGCAUGAGGUUUCCACUGUGACGUUUAUUUUCUUGGCCUUGAAACCUAGAAUAUUGAGAAUGUGGCUAUUAACCAAAGCCUCCUGAACUGAAGGAAGUCUUCUUACACAGUGUGUGAAAGCAGAGAGGAGCUGUUCAUUGCAGCCUUUGAAGAUCACCUUUUAAUUUUCCCCGACUUCUUAUUCUCUGACAAUGUGCUUCAUCCUUUUUUGGAGGAGUUUGAAAUCAGUACUUCCUACUGCCUUUAUCAUGGCCUUAGAGAAGUUCUCCUGCUGGAUCUAGAUGGGUCUCACAUUAUGAAAGGAGCACCAGGACCCUGUAGGAAGGCCAGGGCUCUAUUUAUUUGCAUUUGAGGUGGCGGCCGUGGAGGAGAAAGAUUCAAAACACACAAAGUUAUGUAUGAAUUAUGAUGUGAUAUGUCCACUGGGCAGCACUUCAAAGUUUGUUUUCAAUGGAUUUUCUUCAGGGGGCCACACCAGCAUCCUCCAAAUGGGAGUCUGAGGAUGCUUCCCAUCUUACAUCACUCACAGAUCACUGCCAGAGCAACAAGAAACAAACACCCUAACAAUUUACAGUUCACCCUCUUUGAUGUGAGGUGCAGUAGGGACACGAAGCCCAGGCCUCUGAGUAGGAUAUAGUCGGACUGGCACAGAAAGCAAACUCUUUCUCCAAGAAGAAGGAAAACUACACUAGCAAAUUAAAAAUAUUAGCAAGCCUCUACUCAGAUGCAUUUAGCUUGAUUUGGGUCAAGGUGGGUGAAGGGAAGAGUAAGGAAUUCAAACAGGCUGUGCCAAGGAUUUGCUGGACGUGUUCUUUAAAAAAAAAUGCUGACGGGCAUUAAAUUAAGUAACAACUGCAGAUUACACAAGGGUAAACACUGCUGCUAAUGUUUGACUGACAGCUAACUGAGGGCUCUAAGUGCCUCCAGCUAAUUUACAGAUCGCGCCAGUAACAGCCCCAGGGGACUGGGGCUGCUGAAGGAUGAGAGAGUGUGCUAGGGUCAAGACUUAAGUGUUCCUAUAAGGUAGGGGUCUUAAAUCCAAGACUGUGCCAGGGGCUCCAUCAACCCGCAAAUGAAGGGUUAUAAACUGUCUCAUGUUAUCAAAUAAAAUUGAUUUAAUUUUGCAA